rnacentral:ncRNA from 1 species
GCCGCCGGGGGGGCCGUAAGGCUGAGAUCCGCAAGGACUACCCCAGGAACCUGAUCUCGGUAAUGCGAGCGUAGGGAAGUGGCG